rnacentral:rRNA from 1 species
CCUACGGGAGGCAGCAGUGGGGAAUAUUGGACAAUGGAGGAAACUCUGAUCCAGCAACGCCGCGUGAAUGAUGAAGGUCUUCGGUUUGUAAAGCUCUUUUCUAAGGGACGAAGAAAGUGACGGUACCUUAGGAAUAAGCCUCGGCUAACUACGUGCCAGCAGCCGCGGUAAUACGUAGGAGGCGAGCGUUAUCCGGAAUGACUGGGGGUAAAGGGUGCGUAGGUGGUUUGACAAGUUGGUAGCGUAACUCCGAGGCUCAACCUCGGCACUACUACCGAAACUGUCGGACUUGAGUGCAGGAGAGGCAAGUGGAAUUCCUAGUGUAGCGGUGGAAUGCGCAGAUAUUAGGAGGAACACCAGUGGCGAAGGCGAAUUGCUGGACUGUAACUGACGCUGAGGCACGAAAGCGUGGGGAGCAAACAGGAUUAGAUACCCCUGUAGUC